rnacentral:lncRNA from 1 species
UAUAAAAAUAAAAAUAAAAAUGUAAUGAAUGGUAUGAAAAAAGCCAAACCAGACUUGAAUCUUAUUGCUCAAAAAUUCCAACUACUCUCCUACAAAUUCAUAUAGAUCUUCCUUAUCACAAUCUCUUUUUUUGUAUGUUAAAAAUUAUUAAAAAUUUAAAAAUAAGAUCUGGCUUCAUUCAAAUUUUCAAAACAAAAAAAUAAAGAUGUAAUAAAUGCCAUAGAAAAAUCCAAAUCAGUCUUGAAUCUCAUUCUUCAAAAGUUCCAAUGACCUUAACACAACCUCUUUUUUUGUAUGCUAAAACUUAUCAAAAAUUUUAAAAUAAGAUCUGGCUUCUUUCAAAAUUUCAAAAAAAAUAAAAUAAAGAUGUAAUGAAUGCCAUAGAAAAAUCCAAAUCAGUCUUGAAUCUCAUUCUUCAAAAGCUCCAAUGACUUGCUUUCCACAAAUUUGUAUAGAUCUUCUUUGUCACAACUCCCUUUCUUGUGUACUAAAGCUUAUUUAAAAGUUAACAAUAAGUUCAAGUUUUUUUUAAAUUUCAACAUAAAAUGAUGAAAAUGCAUAAAAUGGCAUGAAAUAACUUAAACUAGACUUGAAUCUUGCAACUCAAAAAUUCUAGCCACUCCCCUCC